GGAUCUGGUCAAUAACUGUAAAGAACAAAGAAUAUCACAUGCUGUGUAUUUCAGAUAUAAGCAUCAGCUGAAGACAAAACUAACUUUAUUCUGAUCCACCAUCUUUAUCCUAAACUGUAAUUAUUUGUCUCAAAAAAACCAACCAAAAAAAACCAGAGGAGUUUCUUUGGUGGCAUUUAUAAGAUCUACUUGAUUUAUUGUUUGGUGCAGUAAAAAUUACUUGGGUUUUCAAAAUGUAUGAAAGCAAAGCUUAAAAACAGAAGUUGCUUUGGGAGCAGGAGAGAUUCAAAGUAGCCUGGAACAGAAGCAAGGAUAGAGAGCUAGGGGAGGUCUCUAAUCCAUCCUGGUGCUACUCAGCCUCACCCCCCACAGCUGUGUAUGUUCCUGUCUCUCUCUCCAAAGAUGAUCCCUCUGUCUCAUGAGAAGACCCCUCCUGAACCAAUCUGUAGGCUGCCAAUUGAGGGCUCUGUCGUCAUUACUGCUUCUGGACCCAGGUUCAGCAACAUUCUUAGAGGAUGAGAUCAGGAAAGAAAAGACAGGAAUUUGAAAUGCAGCCACUACCAAUUUAUUCAGAGAAGCUGGAUCUUCAUUCAAAGGUUAUGCACCCCUUGAACGCAAGAUCGGUCAACUGAUUCAAUCAUAUGCGAACUGAGGAUGUGGAUUUCCAGCCUGCUAGGAACAGCUUAUAGCUGCAACCAUAGCUGUAGCUGUCAGUCUUCACUGGCAUUACGUUAAGAACUGACCCCAUGUGGCAGACAGUCCUCCUAAGAUCAGGUUUUUUAAGCGGGGGAAGAAUUCAGAAAUAAAUAUGCUCCCCUCAUGUGAAGGCUGAAAUUUGAAAAAUAGCUCCGGAUGAUGGAACUGCAGCAACGAACCACUAUGGAGCAUUUACACCAGCCACCAAAUCCAGAACAUUAUCUCAGCAGCUGAACUUUCCUCCAACAUAGCUGCCCUAAAAUAUAUAACCUAAGCAAGUUCCUUAAUAAAUAUUCACAGUGAGAAUAUAUAAUAAAUCUAGAAGCCUUCUAUAUUCUACCACAAUAGAAAGCAGCUUAAACAUUGUGCACAAUGUUGUCACAAUGCUGUGCACAACACUAGCAUUUACACACACAGCAGAUCCAUGGCUGGCGUUAACACAGUGAAUUUACUAUGGAGUAAACAUGCAUGGGACCAAGCUGUUAGGGUUUGAAAAGUAAAAUUAAAGUGGUUUUUAUUAUUUUUUAAAAAAAUCAAAAUAUUUAGCUGUGUUCUCCCCCUUCCAUCCCGGUUGCAUUAAUGGAAUAAAAAUGCUACCAAGGUUCUAACUGAAACCAUUCUGUUCUAGGUUGGCUCUUGCCAGUCUGUUUUAAGUUUAUGAAGCAGACUGUCUGGUUUGCUUUGUCUGAUCUUUCAAAUGAAUUGGUCACUUUUGCUUUCGCUAGUCGCUUCUAUAAGCUAGUGUUCUGCGUCAGUGACUACAAUACCCAAGAUAAUGAAUUUAUUUAUGAAUAAAAUAAAGCUCAAUAUAUUGCAGUGCG